UACGUAGGGUGCGAGCGUUAAUCGGAAUUACUGGGCGUAAAGCGUGCGCAGGCGGCGCGUUAAGACAGGUGUGAAAGCCCCGAGCUUAACUUGGGAAUUGCGCUUGUGACUGGCGUGCUGGAGUGUGGCAGAGGGAGGUGGAAUUCCACGUGUAGCAGUGAAAUGCGUAGAGAUGUGGAGGAACACCGAUGGCGAAGGCAGCCUCCUGGGCCAGCACUGACGCUCAUGCACGAAGCGUGGGAGCAAACAG
rnacentral:rRNA from 1 species